ensembl:lncRNA
AUAAUCACUGUAAGGGAGCACAGUGCACGGAGUUCCAGGAAGGACAGAAUAAGCCAGACACCCAUCUGGGUCUGACAACUUCUCAAAGAAGGGUUUUGUACACUGAAAUUUGUUCUGACAGCAGUGUUUUGAAAAUGUUUAGGACCCUUGCCAUCACAUUUCCUUUGAGUCUGAUUGCCUUAUGUGACACAUUCUCAGCUGCUGUAAAUUGCUCCCACUCCAUCAUCCAGUGACAUCUCGUUGGUGUACAUGGGCAGAGCCCUCUGCUUCCAGACAUGGUGCCUUGAGCUGGGUUGGGAUCUCACCACGAGUCAUUAUGAGCCUGAUGAGAGUGUGUGCUGAAGGGAAGACAGGCUUAUGAUAGGUUGUGUUGAGGACUGACCCAAGGACUCUUACCAGCAGAGUGACAUGCAAUGCACCCCUGGGACUGGAGAAUCUGGAAGGAAGGGCCAUAGUGCUGCUCAGCCAGGGGACUUGGAGACGGUACUGCUGCCCUUGCUCCUGUGACACGGCACAGGGUGGGCAGCUUGUUCUCCCUGUGGAUAAUGAUUCCCGCAGAAUUACGGAAGACAGUUGGAAAGAACUUAAACAGAACUUUGUUGCUGCAAGGAAUGGAUGCCAGAAACGGAAGGCAAUCAGAAUAGAUCUUUAUUUUCUGACAAUAGCUGGGUUUGAAUUAAAUAGUUUCAACUCAAACAGUGAAACUCAGUUAUGAAACCAUGUACAAGAAAUCUGAAAGAAAAGGUCUCCUAAGGCAGAGGUGUCAGGAGGAGCAGGGUGAGACCUGCUGUCCGUGACCAGAAGGGGUGCAGGCCUCACCUGCAGCUCUCAGCAGGCUCAGGGACAGCUGCUCCCCGCCUCUCGCUGCACGUGAAGCCUCAGAUGCUCUUUCCAAGUGCAUUCACAUGCUCCCCACUUGUGAGAAGCACAGGUUUGUUUGUCUGUCACAAGACAGGAGUGUGAAAGUGUUGUAAAUAACACUCUGCCAUCUUGCCCACGCAGGGCCCUCCCUUCUCUGGGCAAAGACCUGCCAGUGUUGCCUCCUUCCCUGGAGCUGCUAUGUUGCCAGCACCUCCUGCUUGAGUGCUGCUCCCACGUGGGCCCCAAAGGCUGGCCCCAUGCUCAAACAGCCCUUGCAGUUAUUGCAGGUGCUAGGAGGCUUCAGCAAAAUCUCCUGGCAGCUUUGGAAGUGUCCAGAGUUGCCUGCCUUGGGCUGAACAAAUGAAAAUGCAAACCCCUCCGCACUGUAAUAUGGUGAAGAUCUUCAGUGGUACCUGAUGUGUCAACAAAAAGGUUGAAGUAAUUACCAGUUUGUCUUUAUUCACAGACAAGGGUGGAAGGCAACACUCCCUGGGUUGCUUAAGGAGCUUCUUGCCCAAAUUACCCACCAAAUCAGCCACCUGAUGAUGCAAAGCUUUCUAGUAGCCAAGGGCUUAGAAACUCUAAUAAAGAGGCUCCAGUUCUAAGUGACAAAUCAAAGCUUUCUAGAAGCCAAGGGGUUUGGAACUCUGACAAAGAGGCUCCAGUUCUAAGUGACAAAUCAGUUGUUCACACCUCUUGGAGCUGAACAGAAGCACAGUCUUCAUAGCAGUGUGGUUAACAUUGGAGGUUGGUGCUGUGCACAUCCACGGGUGCUAAGAAAAAAUGAACAUCCACAUGUUCAAAUAAAGCAGAAGGCAGUAACCAUAGUCUGCAGGGGUAAGAAAGGGUCAUACACUGACCUGUGAGAGGAGCAGUGGCUGAAACCAACCACAAGGUGUA